rnacentral:rRNA from 1 species
CCUACGGGUGGCAGCAGUGAGGAAUAUUGGUCAAUGGGCGCGCGCCUGAACCAGCCAAGUAGCGUGAAGGAUGACUGCCCUACGGGUUGUAAACCUCUUUUAUAAAGGAAUAAAGUCAGGCACGUGUGCCUUUUUGUAUGUUCUUUAUGAAUAAGGCAUGGCUAACCUCGGUCCAGCAGCCGCGGUAAUUCGGAGGAUUCGAGCGUUAUCCGGAUUUAUUGGGUUUAAAGGGAGCGUAGAUGGGUUGUUAAGGCAGUUGUGAAAGUUUGCGGCUCAAACGUAAAAUUGCAAUUGAUACUGGCAGUCUUGAGUACAGUUGAGGUAGGCGGAAUGCGUGGUGUAGCGGUGAAAUGCUUAGAUAUCACGAAGAACUCCGAUUGCGAAGGCAGCUUACUAAACUGCCACUGACAUUGAUGCUCGAAAGUGUGGGUAUCAAACAGGAUUAGAUACCCCGGUAGUC